AAAACCCGCAAGGCCGACGGCAUCCGCCGCCGCUGGUGCAAGUCCAGCCGCCCCCCGCCGGGGCGGGCGCUCAUGGGUAACAC
rnacentral:ribozyme from 1 species